rnacentral:rRNA from 1 species
ACCUCGGAUCAGGUAGGGAUACCCGCUGAACUUAAGCAUAUCAAUAAGCGGAGGAAAAGAAACCAACCGGGAUUGCCUCAGUAACGGCGAGUGAAGCGGCAAGAGCUCAAAUUUGAAAGCUGGCUCCUUCGGGGUCCGCAUUGUAAUUUGCAGAGGAUGCUUCGGGUGCAGCCCCCGUCUAAGUGCCCUGGAACGGGCCGUCAUAGAGGGUGAGAAUCCCGUAUGGGGCGGGGUGUCUGCGUCCGUGUGAAGCUCCUUCGACGAGUCGAGUUGUUUGGGAAUGCAGCUCUAAAUGGGUGGUAAAUUUCAUCUAAAGCUAAAUACUGGCCGGAGACCGAUAGCGCACAAGUAGAGUGAUCGAAAGAUGAAAAGCACUUUGAAAAGAGAGUUAAACAGCACGUGAAAUUGUUGAAAGGGAAGCGCUUGCAACCAGACUCGCUCGCGGGGUUCAGCCGGGCUUCGGCCCGGUGUACUUCCCCGCGGGCGGGCCAGCGUCGGUUUGGGCGGCCGGUCAAAGGCCUCCGGAAUGUAGCGCCCUUCGGGGCGCCUUAUAGCCGGAGGUGCAAUGCGGCCAGCCUGGACCGAGGAACGCGCUUCGGCACGGACGCUGGCAUAAUGGUUGUAAACGACCCGUCUUGAAACACGGACCAAGGAGUCUAACAUCUACGCGAGUGUUCGGGUGUCAAACCCGUACGCGCAGUGAAAGCGAACGGAGGUGGGAGCCCCCUCGCGGGGCGCACCAUCGACCGAUCCUGAUGUCUUCGGAUGGAUUUGAGUACGAGCGUAGCUGUGGGGACCCGAAAGAUGGUGAACUAUGCCUGAAUAGGGCGAAGCCAGAGGAAACUCUGGUGGAGGCUCGCAGCGGUUCUGACGUGCAAAUCGAUCGUCAAAUUUGGGUAUAGGGGCGAAAGACUAAUCGAACCAUCUGGUAGCUGGUUCCUGCCGAAGUUUCCCUCAGGAUAGCAGUAACGCGGAUCAGUUUUAUGAGGUAAAGCGAAUGAUUAGAGGCAUUGGGGUUGAAACAACCUUAACCUAUUCUCAAGCUUUAAAUAUGUAAGAAGCGCUUGUUGCUUAGUUGAACGUGCGCAUUAGAAUGGAGCGU